UGGGAAUGCGCUUACUUGAGUUUGAUAAGUAUAAAUUUACGAAACUCUAGGGAAAGGAGUGUGAUCAUCUUCUUACACUCCUUGUAAUUUGUUUUUUUUUUUUCCCUCCUUACUCCUUCCAGUAGGUACACUGGUGGUCACCUGUUCUUGGAUCUCCAUGUAGAUAUGAAGUUACCUCCUAUACUAUGUACCUGGGAAGAAGAAUUCAG
rnacentral:lncRNA from 1 species